rnacentral:rRNA from 1 species
UACGUAGGGUGCGAGCGUUGUCCGGAAUUAUUGGGCGUAAAGAGCUCGUAGGCGGUGUGUCACGUCGGCCGUGAAAACCUGCAGCUUAACUGUGGGCGUGCGGUCGAUACGGGCAUCACUGGAGUUCGGCAGGGGAGACUGGAAUUUACGGUGUAGCGGUGAAAUGCGUAGAUAUCGUAAGGAAGACCAGUGGCGAAGGCGGGUCUCUGGACAGUUCCUGACGCUGAGGCACGAAGGUCAGGGGAGCAAACGGG